ACACAUGCAAGUCGAGCGAGAAAGCACUUCGGUGUGAGUACAGCGGCGGACGGGUGAGUAACGCGUAGGAAUCUCCCCAGUAGUGGGGGACAACAUGGUGAAAACCAUGCUAAUACCGCAUACGCCCUAUGGGGGAAAGCGGGGGACCUUCGGGCCUCGCGCUAUUGGAUGAGCCUGCGUCGGAUUAGCUUGUUGGUGAGGUAAAGGCUCACCAAGGCGACGAUCCGUAGCUGGUCUGAGAGGAUGAUCAGCCACACUGGAACUGAGACACGGUCCAGACUCCUACGGGAGGCAGCAGUGGGGAAUAUUGCGCAAUGGGCGAAAGCCUGACGCAGCCAUGCCGCGUGUGUGAAGAAGGCCUUAGGGUUGUAAAGCACUUUCAAUUGGGAAGAAAAGCUCAUCGUUAAUAGCGGUGAGCCCUGACAUUACCUUUAGAAGAAGCACCGGCUAACUCCGUGCCAGCAGCCGCGGUAAUACGGAGGGUGCGAGCGUUAAUCGGAAUUACUGGGCGUAAAGCGCGCGUAGGCGGUUAGUUAAGUCGGAUGUGAAAGCCCUGGGCUCAACCUGGGAACUGCAUUCGAUACUGGCCAACUAGAGUGCGAGAGAGGGAGGUAGAAUUCCACGUGUAGCGGUGAAAUGCGUAGAUAUGUGGAGGAAUACC
rnacentral:rRNA from 1 species